ACGGGAGGCGCAGUGGGGAAUAUUGCACAAUGGGGGAAACCCUGAUGCAGCGACGCCGCGUGAGUGAAGAAGUAUUUCGGUAUGUAAAGCUCUAUCAGCAGGAAAGAAAAUGACGGUACCUGACUAAGAAGCCCCGGCUAACUACGUGCCAGCAGCCGCGGUAAUACGUAGGGGGCAAGCGUUAUCCGGAUUUACUGGGUGUAAAGGGAGCGUAGACGGCUUUGCAAGUCUGAAGUGAAAGCCCGGGGCUCAACCCCGGAACUGCUUUGGAAACUGUAGAGCUAGAGUGCAGGAGAGGUAAGUGGAAUUCCUAGUGUAGCGGUGAAAUGCGUAGGUAUUAGGAGGAACACCAGUGGCGAAGGCGGCUUACUGGACUGUAACUGACGUUGAGGCUCGAAGGCGUGGGGAGCAAACAGGAUUAGAUACCCUGGUA
rnacentral:rRNA from 1 species